GGGAACCAUGAGCAAGGCGGGGCUGAUGGGUGGGCUCGGGGCCAUAGUGUAGGAGGCGCCGAUGGGGUUGGAACGUCGAGAAGGAAGACAUGCAAAGAGCAAAGAAUGCCAAAAAGGACGCACGGAGGAGGGGGGUCGCUGUUGGUUAGGAGGCACCAGUGAGAUGGAAAAAAGUCGAAAAGGAGGAGAACGAGAAAGGAUUCAU
rnacentral:lncRNA from 1 species